GCUGAAAUUGCUUUCCUGACUGAGUACUGCACUGUGAUAAAGCCUUUGGUGAAGGCUUUAAACAUUCUUCAGUCUGAGACCAACACACACUUGGGGUGGCUUUGCCAGUGAUCUUACAGCUACAAGCAAAACUCAGCAGACAGGAGACAUCCUCCAAGAUGUGUCUGCCCCUCAUCAAAGCCAUUCAGAUUGGUGUCCAAAAGCUUUGGUGGGAUGACGGAAGACCCUGAAGUGAUUGCUGCAGCAAUCCUUCUGCCAAAAUUCAAGACCACCUGGACUGAGAGUGCUGAUGCCAUAGAAGCAGGUCUGGGCUAUGUGAGACAACACCUUGACCAGAUGGCAGAGGCUGGGCAACAUUUUUUUUUACACCUAGCUUGUGUCUCAAACAAUAUGGAUCUGCUGAACUAAUUUCCGCAAAUCAAAAAACUUUCUCUCAAGCUCAACACUGGAUUGCCUGCCUCAGCCGCCUGUGAGCGUCUCUUCAGCUGUGCUGGACUCCUAUUCACUGCAAAGCGAGCAAGGAUGAGCUCUACUAACUUUGAAAACCAGCUUCUGCUCAAACUAAACAGGAAGUUUAGUGAGUAAUGUUCAAAAGAAGAAACCACAAAUAUAGGACCUUUAAUUAAGAGAUACAGUGAGGCAGGGCAAUUUUCUUUGUAGCAGCUGCCACGUGGUUCAUUUGACAUAUUUUGUUUUUCGACAGGAAGAGAAUAUUCUGUCAUGUGUUGACAUGUUUUAUAUCGUUAAUACACUUUAUUUGUAAAGAUUUCCCUUAAUUAAAAACAACUUUGAGAUUUAAAUCCUCUCGUCCUUAUUGCACUUCACAGGAGAGAUCCGUUGUUAAAAAAAAAAGUAACUAAGCAACUUUUACUUAA